rnacentral:rRNA from 1 species
AGAGUUUGAUCCUGGCUCAGGAUGAACGCUGGCGGCGUGCUUAACACAUGCAAGUCGAACGAAGCACCUUGAUUUGAUUCUUCGGAUGAAGAUCUUGGUGACUGAGUGGCGGACGGGUGAGUAACGCGUGGGUAACCUGCCUCAUACAGGGGGAUAACAGUUAGAAAUGACUGCUAAUACCGCAUAAGACCACAGCACCGCAUGGUGCAGGGGUAAAAACUCCGGUGGUAUGAGAUGGACCCGCGUCUGAUUAGGUAGUUGGUGGGGUAACGGCCUACCAAGCCGACGAUCAGUAGCCGACCUGAGAGGGUGACCGGCCACAUUGGGACUGAGACACGGCCCAAACUCCUACGGGAGGCAGCAGUGGGGAAUAUUGCACAAUGGGGGAAACCCUGAUGCAGCGACGCCGCGUGAGCGAUGAAGUAUUUCGGUAUGUAAAGCUCUAUCAGCAGGGAAGAAAAUGACGGUACCUGACUAAGAAGCACCGGCUAAAUACGUGCCAGCAGCCGCGGUAAUACGUAUGGUGCAAGCGUUAUCCGGAUUUACUGGGUGUAAAGGGAGCGUAGACGGAGUGGCAAGUCUGAUGUGAAAACCCGGGGCUCAACCCCGGGACUGCAUUGGAAACUGUCAAUCUAGAGUACCGGAGAGGUAAGCGGAAUUCCUAGUGUAGCGGUGAAAUGCGUAGAUAUUAGGAGGAACACCAGUGGCGAAGGCGGCUUACUGGACGGUAACUGACGUUGAGGCUCGAAAGCGUGGGGAGCAAACAGGAUUAGAUACCCUGGUAGUCCACGCCGUAAACG